rnacentral:rRNA from 1 species
GACGAACGCUGGCGGCGUGCUUAACACAUGCAAGUCGAACGGUGAAGCGCCUUCCUUUUUGGUGGGUGUGGAUGAGUGGCGAACUGGUGAGUAACACGUUAGUAACCUGCCCCCUUCUUCUGGAUAACCGCAUGAAAGUGUUGCUAAUACGGGAUAUUCUGGGUCUGUCGCAUGAUGGGUCUGGGACAGAUAUUGUGUCGGUGGGGGAUGGGCUCGCGGCCUAUCAGCUUGUUGGUGGGGUGAUGGCCUACCAAGGCGGUGACGGGUAGCCGGCCUGAGAGGGUGGACGGCAACACUGGGAAGGAGACACGGCCCAGACUCCGACGGGAAGCAGCAGGGGAGAAUAUGGCACAAUGGGCGCAAGCAUGGUGCAGCGCCGCCGCGGGAGGGAUGGAGUCCUGCGGGUUGUGAACCUCUUUCGCGAGUGAAGCAGGCCUGCCUCGUCUGUGGGUGGGUUGACGGUAGCUGGAGAAGAAGCGCCGGCUAACUACGUG